CCUACGGGGGGCAGCAGUGAGGAAUAUUGGUCAAUGGGCUUACGCCUGAACCAGCCAAGUCGCGUGAGGGAAGACUGCCCUAUGGGUUGUAAACCUCUUUUGUCAGGGAGCAACGCCGGCUACGUGUAGCCGGACUGAGAGUCCCUGAAGAAAAAGCAUCGGCUAACUCCGUGCCAGCAGCCGCGGUAAUACGGAGGUUGCGAGCGUUAUCCGGAUUCAUUGGGUUAAAAGGGUGCGUAGGCGGAAUGCAAAGUCAGGGGUAAAAUCGCGGGGCUAAACCUCGCUCCGCCGUUGAAACUGGCGUUCUUGAGUGGGCGAGAAGUAUGCGGAAUGCGUGGUGUAGCGGUGAAAUGCAUAGAUAUCACGCAGAA
rnacentral:rRNA from 1 species